rnacentral:lncRNA from 1 species
CAUGUUUGUGUGAACACUGCUGUACAUAGCAACAAAACGUUUCUAAAUACUGACGGAACAAAAGUAAGUGUUACAGACUUUAGUUACCAAUAAUGAAGAUACUAAUGCAUGUAGAAAAGGAUCACCGAUUGACAAUUAAACCACAUUACUGAAUGAAGACGAAAAUAGAAAUGGGAAAAAACGUGUCCAAGCAUAUCUGUUUCUUCUAUCUGUGCCAAGUUCAAAGAUGAUGUCCUUCAGAACAAAAAAGAUGAAGUUUUGCACAUACUUUGUGUAAAUCUCCUUUCACAAAAUCCUGAAUGUGUCUGAAGCUGCUUGUUGUCAAUUAUUGAAAUUAAACUGAAUAUUCAACAAAUCACUACAAGCGAAAAUGCUUACGAAAUGGAUAUAUAUCAUGGAUUUGAAGAGAAAGAAAUACGUACUGAUCAACAGUUGCCAAUUGGACACAUUGAACAAGAGGCCCAGACAAGUUCACGUGUUGCAAAUAACCGCUCACAAUCAAAAGUUUCUUAACUACACCAAACCUAUUCGUUCGUUCGUUCGUUCAUUUUUUGUCAAUCCACCCUUUCAUUCAAAAGUGCCCGAAACCAUAGAGGUAUAUGGGCACGUUAAAAACAUAUCUAAGUCUAAGUCAUUCAAAAUAUAUUAUCAUAAAACAAUGCAUACAGAGCUCUUAAAGGGACAUUCCUGAGUUUGCUGCAAUUUUAAAGAUAUUAUCAACUAACAGAGACUUUUUGACG